CCCGCACAAGCGGUGGAGCAWGWGGUUUAAUUCGAUGCAACGCGAAGAACCUUACCUACUCUUGACAUCCASAGAACUUAGCAGAGAUGCUUUGGUGCCUUCGGGAACUSUGAGACAGGUGCUGCAUGGCUGUCGUCAGCUCGUGUUGUGAAAUGUUGGGUUAAGUCCCGCAACGAGCGCAACCCUUAUCCUUUGUUGCCAGCGGUCCGGCCGGGAACUCAAAGGAGACUGCCAGUGAUAAACUGGAGGAAGGKGGGGAUGACGUCAAGUCAUCAUGGCCCUUACGAGUAGGGCUACACACGUGCUACAAUGGCAUAUACAAAGAGAAGCGACCUCGCGAGAGCAAG
rnacentral:rRNA from 1 species